rnacentral:rRNA from 1 species
UACGGGGGGGGCAAGCGUUGUUCGGAAUUACUGGGCGUAAAGGGCUCGUAGGUGGCCAACUAAGUCAGACGUGAAAUCCCUCAGCUUAACUGGGGAACUGCGUCUGAUACUGGAUGGCUUGAGUUUGGGAGAGGGAUGCGGAAUUCCAGGUGUAGCGGUGAAAUGCGUAGAUAUUGGGAAGAACACCGGUGGCGAAGGCGGCGAGCUGGCCUGCACCUGACGCUGAGGCGCGACAGCGUGGGGAGCAAACAGG